UUCCAGGUAUGGGAAUCGAACCCACAGUGUUCCGCUUACCGGGAAGAUGCCAUGUCCACUAGGCUACCCUGGA
rnacentral:tRNA from 1 species